GUACACUCCUACGGGAGGCAGCAGUGAGGAAUAUUGGACAAUGGGUGGAAGCCUGAUCCAGCCAUCCCGCGUGCAGGAAGACGGCCCUAUGGGUUGUAAACUGCUUUUAUCUGGGGAUAAACCUACUUACGUGUAAGUAGCUGAAGGUACCAGAAGAAUAAGCACCGGCUAACUCCGUGCCAGCAGCCGCGGUAAUACGGAGGGUGCAAGCGUUAUCCGGAUUUAUUGGGUUUAAAGGGUCCGUAGGCGGACUGAUAAGUCAGUGGUGAAAUCCGACAGCUUAACUGUCGAACUGCCAUUGAUACUGUUAGUCUUGAGUAAGGUUGAAGUGGCUGGAAUAAGUAGUGUAGCGGUGAAAUGCAUAGAUAUUACUUAGAACACCAAUUGCGAAGGCAGGUCACUAAGUCUUAACUGACGCUGAUGGACGAAAGCGUGGGGAGCGAACAGGAUUAGAAACCCUGGUAGUCCC
rnacentral:rRNA from 1 species